rnacentral:rRNA from 1 species
AUUGAACGCUGGCGGCAUGCCUUACACAUGCAAGUCGAACGGCAGCACGGGGGCAACCCUGGUGGCGAGUGGCGAACGGGUGAGUAACACAUCGGAACGUGCCCAGUAGUGGGGGAGUAGCUCGGCGAAAGCCGGAUUAAUACCGCAUACGACCUACGGGUGAAAGCGGGGAGUCGCAAGACCUCGCGCUAUUGGAGCGGCCGAUGUCAGAUUAGGUUGUUGGUGGGGUAAAGGCCUACCAAGCCGACGAUCUGUAGCUGGUCUGAGAGGACGACCAGCCACACUGGGACUGAGACACGGCCCAGACUCCUACGGGAGGCAGCAGUGGGGAAUUUUGGACAAUGGGCGCAAGCCUGAUCCAGCCAUGCCGCGUGC